AACGGCCAUACCAUGCUGAAUAUAUCGGUUCUCGUUCGAUCACCGAAGUCAAGCAUCAUCGGAGUGAUCAGUACUUGGGAGGUCGACCACAUGGGAAACCGCUUGCCGU